CACAUAUUUACAAAUGGAAGCCAAUGCCAUUUGUUUCUCUGGGAACGGCUUCAAUUUAUUCAUUCUUUUUCUCUCUUUGUCCCCGCAGGUGAGCUACGCCAUGCCCAUGCCCACUCCCGGGCUACAAAAGGAAUUCACUGCGAGUGCCCCUCAUUCACUCGACAUUCACUGACAAGAUGGACUAACAGUACCAUUUACAGAAGGACAAAAACAGCGGUAAACUUCGCCAAGUCCAUCCUGAGAUGCAGACUACAGCAGGAAUUCACGACGCCAAGUUGUGGAAGGAUCGGGGUGUGCAUGCGAGUUUUUCACGCAAGAAAAAUAAGCAUUGAAUGCAGCAGCAUCGUAGCCUGGGUGCCAUCCGAAUUUGUAACGGCUACGGGCAAAUUCGGAU